AUACGGAGGGUGCAAGCGUUACUCGGAAUCACUGGGCGUAAAGCGCGCGCAGGCGGGCUGAUAAGUUGGAUGUGAAAGCCUACGGCUCAACCGUAGAACUGCAUCCAAAACUGUCAAGCUAGAGUCUGGGAGGGGAAGAUGGAAUUAGUUGUGUAGGGGUAAAAUCCGUAGAGAUAACUAGGAAUACCAAAAGCGAAGGCGAUCUUCUGGAACAGUACUGACGCUGAGGCGCGAAGGCGUGGGGAGCAAACAGGAUUAGAUACCCGAGUAGUCC
rnacentral:rRNA from 1 species